CCCUCCUGCCGUCCACUCCUAUGCGUCCGAAAUAGAGAAGAGGAGGCGGUGGCGCGUAGGCGACUGGCGGCGGCGACUGUGACCUUGAGGAGUCGCUGCUCUCUGUUCCACGUGCGAUCGAGCACACCAAGAGGAGCGAGGAGCUCGUUCAAGCUGGAGCACCCCCUCGGUUCGAGGGGAUAUCCAGAAAACUCACCGAAGCAGAUGGAGAUGUGACCUGAUCAUUUUGUGGUGACCUGAUCAUUUUGUGAGGUGGCAAAACAUCGAUGAUCCAUGUUGUUGUGUAUGGGAUGCCAUACCAUUUUGUAAAGUACUGCUUGCUCAUGGAUGUUGGUUCCUUUGUUGCAUGAUGUUAGAUUAUGAAAAGAACUCCAAGGACAUGCCUGUUAGUUGUGUUCCCACAUGAGCAUGUUAGUUGUAGUAUGCAAUGCAGACUUGUUAGUUGUGCUGUAACAUGGGCAUGUUAGUUGUGGUGUGUGCAAGGCAAACUUAUGUCGUUGUUGCGAACAUCAUUGUACCCAUGGCUGUUAAAUGUGUUAAAUGUGCCAUUUGUUUGGCAUGAAUGAAAUACUCCUAUGUUAUGACUUAUUCUAUGUCUGACAUUGAAUGUGAGCUUCUAU